rnacentral:lncRNA from 1 species
CUGUUAUUAGGCUACGUGAGUCAGGGUAGCUAGCCUACUUUAUUACACAUCCAAAACAGAGAUAACGUAACUAUCAGCCACUGUGGAGGUGGCGUCACGCAGACAUCUUCACUUUGAAGUAUGCCAUCGAUGCACAGUCAUCUACCCUGCCCUUAGGUUUUUAAUAACAUCAACAACGUACAGCUGGACAUUGGAGCGGACCCUCUGUGGCCAAAAUAGGGACACAUUGGGACCAAACAGCAUCCCUUUGUGAUCAAAGUGGAGGCGUCCCCCUGCCUAUCUCAGUUGCUCAAUUUACUAUUGUUCUCGUUUUGUUUUAUGUUGUCUUGUCUCGUGUUUUGUCUGCUGUCUUAUGUAUUUAAAAAAAUAAUAAUCUUCCACCUACAAAAUAAUCAAAGUGAAUCACUGGGAUAAUUUCACCCAAUCCCUAAUUGACCCAAAGUCUUUAUGCAUCUGAAUUAAUUGGAUAGUUGUAAGCAAUAUCUUCAUAGCUGCACCUUGCCCUCUGAUAAACUCACAGGAAUUGUGUACUCCAAUCCUUACAGAUCUAGGAGGGAGUAGGGGCUAGAGGUUGAUUUGGGAUUGGGCAAGACACAAAUUUGGAUCACUGACAGAAGCACACUGUAUAGCAUAACAUUAGCAUAAGGACUGUCACAUGCUAGCACUAGUGGCUAUGUUGGCACAGCUUGCAGUUGGUUGAGAGAGCAUAUGUGGGUGACUUAAUCAUCACACACAGACAACACACUCACAUACUCAGACACAGGUUCACUGGUGCGUGCACGCAUAGCUGCACACAUGCAUGUAUUCACGUACUGUCUCUCUUUCUCUCACGUACCACACUCUCUCUCUCU